rnacentral:rRNA from 1 species
AGAGUUUGAUCCUGGCUCAGGACGAACGCUGGCGGCGCGCCUAACACAUGCAAGUCGAACGAGAGAUGAGGAGCUUGCUCUUCAAAUCGAGUGGCGAACGGGUGAGUAACGCGUGAGGAACCUGCCUCAAAGAGGGGGACAACAGUUGGAAACGACUGCUAAUACCGCAUAAGCCCACGGCUCGGCAUCGAGCAGAGGGAAAAGGAGCAAUCCGCUUUGAGAUGGCCUCGCGUCCGAUUAGCUAGUUGGUGAGGUAACGGCCCACCAAGGCGACGAUCGGUAGCCGGACUGAGAGGUUGAACGGCCACAUUGGGACUGAGACACGGCCCAGACUCCUACGGGAGGCAGCAGUGGGGAAUAUUGCACAAUGGGGGAAACCCUGAUGCAGCGACGCCGCGUGGAGGAAGAAGGUCUUCGGAUUGUAAACUCCUGUUGUUGAGGAAGAUAAUGACGGUACUCAACAAGGAAGUGACGGCUAACUACGUGCCAGCAGCCGCGGUAAAACGUAGGUCACAAGCGUUGUCCGGAAUUACUGGGUGUAAAGGGAGCGCAGGCGGGAAGACAAGUUGGAAGUGAAAUCCAUGGGCUCAACCCAUGAACUGCUUUCAAAACUGUUUUUCUUGAGUAGUGCAGAGGUAGGCGGAAUUCCCGGUGUAGCGGUGGAAUGCGUAGAUAUCGGGAGGAACACCAGUGGCGAAGGCGGCCUACUGGGCACCAACUGACGCUGAGGCUCGAAAGUGUGGGUAGCAAACAGGAUUAGAUACCCUGGUAGUCCACACCGUAAACGAUGAUUACUAGGUGUUGGAGGAUUGACCCCUUCAGUGCCGCAGUUAACACAAUAAGUAAUCCACCUGGGGAGUACGACCGCAAGGUUGAAACUCAAAGGAAUUGACGGGGGCCCGCACAAGCAGUGGAGUAUGUGGUUUAAUUCGAAGCAACGCGAAGAACCUUACCAGGUCUUGACAUCCCGAUGACCGCUUCUUAAUCGAAGCUUUUCUUCGGAACAUCGGAGACAGGUGGUGCAUGGUUGUCGUCAGCUCGUGUCGUGAGAUGUUGGGUUAAGUCCCGCAACGAGCGCAACCCUU